UACGUAGGGUGCGAGCGUUGUCCGGAAUUACUGGGCGUAAAGCGCGUGUAGGCGGCAAUGCAAGUCGGGCGUGAAAUCCCACGGCUCAACCGUGGAAGUGCACUCGAAACUGCAUAGCUAGAGUCCUGGAGAGGAAGGUGGAAUGCUUGGUGUAGAGGUGAAAUUCGUAGAUAUCAAGCGGAACACCGGUGGCGAAGGCGGCCUUCUGGACAGUGACUGACGCUGAGACGCGAAAGCGUGGGGAGCAAACAGG
rnacentral:rRNA from 1 species